rnacentral:tRNA from 1 species
CGACACUUUUCAAGUGGUUAAGGCGAUUGACUCGAAAUCAAUUCUCUUUGGAGGCGCAGGUUCGAAUCCUGCAGCUGUCGA